rnacentral:rRNA from 1 species
CGGGGGCAGGCAUAAACAUGCAAGUCGAGCGGAACGAGAAGUAGCUUGCUACUUCGGCGUCGAGCGGCGGACGGGUGAGUAAUGCAUAGGAAGUUGCCCAGUAGAGGGGGAUAACCAUUGGAAACGAUGGCUAAUACCGCAUAACCUCUUCGGAGCAAAGCGGGGGACCUUCGGGCCUCGCGCUACUGGAUACGCCUAUGUGGGAUUAGCUAGUUGGUGAGGUAAUGGCUCACCAAGGCGACGAUCCCUAGCUGGUCUGAGAGGAUGAUCAGCCACACUGGGACUGAGACACGGCCCAGACUCCUACGGGAGGCAGCAGUGGGGAAUAUUGCACAAUGGGCGAAAGCCUGAUGCAGCCAUGCCGCGUGUAUGAAGAAGGCCUUCGGGUUGUAAAGUACUUUCAGUUGUGAGGAAGGUUUCGUAGUUAAUAACUGCGUUGCUUGACGUUAGCAACAGAAGAAGCACCGGCUAACUCCGUGCCAGCAGCCGCGGUAAUACGGAGGGUGCGAGCGUUAAUCGGAAUUACUGGGCGUAAAGCGCAUGCAGGUGGUUUGUUAAGUCAGAUGUGAAAGCCCGGGGCUCAACCUCGGAAGGUCAUUUGAAACUGGCAAACUAGAGUACUGUAGAGGGGGGUAGAAUUUCAGGUGUAGCGGUGAAAUGCGUAGAGAUCUGAAGGAAUACCAGUGGCGAAGGCGGCCCCCUGGACAGAUACUGACACUCAGAUGCGAAAGCGUGGGGAGCAAACAGGAUUAGAUACCCUGGUAGUCCACGCCGUAAACGAUGUCUACUUGGAGGUUGUGGCCUUGAGCCGUGGCUUUCGGAGCUAACGCGUUAAGUAGACCGCCUGGGGAGUACGGUCGCAAGAUUAAAACUCAAAUGAAUUGACGGGGGCCCGCACAAGCGGUGGAGCAUGUGGUUUAAUUCGAUGCAACGCGAAGAACCUUACCUACUCUUGACAUCCAGAGAACUUUCCAGAGAUGGAUUGGUGCCUUCGGGACUCUGAGACAGUGCUGCAUGGCUGUCGUCAGCUCGUGUUGUGAAUGUUGGGUAAGUCCCGCACGAGCGCACCCUUAUCCUUGUUUGCCAGCGAGUAAUGUCGGGAACCUCCAGGGAGACUGGCCGGGUGAUAAACCGGAAGAAAGGUGGGGG